AUGGUCCGACUUCUAAAAAGCAAAUUGCUAGCUGACAGCUGGCUCCACCUCUACUAUAAAUUAUUGGACUCAAGAGCAAGCUGGAAAUCCACCGCAGGAUCAUCAGGCGCAGUGGAGUUAGUUUGUAUUUACACUCUUGUAACCAGGCUGGGGAUUGGGUUUCCAGCAUUAAGGAGUCUUACAUAAAGCAAGAUUUGCUUUUCAUUAAGUUCCAUGUUGACAGACAUAAAUCCUCACUAUAAGUCCUUUCUAAUUUAUAUCUUGUUAGGAUAGGCCAGUACGCACAAAAUUUUUCCUAAUUCAUCUGCUGCAUUGUAAGGCUUUUAUUGUGCUUUAAAAUUAUUCCAGUAUUUUGAUCUGUGUUUUCAGGCUUCAUCCUCCACUGGUCUUUUUCCCUAGAAAAUGUAGGUGACAAAUAUUCACAAACACUAGUUAGAUCUGUGCCAAAGGGAAAGUUCAAAACAAUAAAGCUCUAGCCAGAAAGCUAUAUAGUGGGUGA
rnacentral:lncRNA from 1 species